GACGAACGCUGGCGGUGUGCUUAACACAUGCAAGUCGAACGGUAAGGCCCUUUCGGGGGUCCACGAGUGGCGAACGGGUGAGUAACACGUGAGUAACCUGCCCUCAUCUCUGGGAUAACAGUCGGAAACGGUUGCUAAUACUGGAUAUGAGCCUGCAAGGCAUCUUGUGGGUUGGAAAGAUUUUUUGGUUGGGGAUGGACUCGCGGCCUAUCAGCUUGUUGGUGAGGUAGUGGCUCACCAAGGCUUCGACGGGUAGCCGGCCUGAGAGGGCGACCGGCCACAGUGGGACUGAGAUACGGCCCAAACUCCUACGGGAGGCAGCAGUGGGGAAUAUUGCACAAUGGACGGAAGUCUGAUGCAGCAACGCCGCGUGCGGGAUGACGGCCUUCGGGUUGUAAACCGCUUUCAAUUGUGACGAAGCUUUUUGUGACGGUAGCAGUAGAAGAAGCACCGGCUAACUACGUG
rnacentral:rRNA from 1 species